CCAGACUCCUACGGGAGGCAGCAGUGGGGAAUAUUGCACAAUGGGGGGAACCCCGAUGCGGCGACGCCGCGUGGGCGAGGAAGUAUUUCGGUAUGUAAAGCCCUAUCGGCAGGGAAGAAGAAAUGACGGUACCUGAAUAAGAAGCACCGGCUAAAUACGUGCCAGCAGCCGCGGUAAUACGUAUGGUGCAAGCGUUAUCCGGAUUUACUGGGUGUAAAGGGGGCGCAGACGGCAGCGCAAGCCAGGAGUGAAAGCCCGGGGCCCAACCCCGGGACUGCUCUUGGAACUGCGCGGCUGGAGUGCAGGAGGGGCAGGCGGAAUUCCUGGUGUAGCGGUGAAAUGCGUAGAUAUCAGGAGGAACACCGGUGGCGAAGGCGGCCUGCUGGACUGCGACUGACGUUGAGGCCCGAAAGCGUGGGGAGCAAACAGGAUUAGAUACCCGCGUAAA
rnacentral:rRNA from 1 species